rnacentral:lncRNA from 10 species
GGGGCGGGGCGUCUCGGGCGAGGAGAGGAGGUGACCCCGCGAAAGGCUGGAGUGCAAUGGCGCGAUCUCAGCUCACCGCAACCUCCACCUCCCGGCUUCAGGUGAUUCUCCUGCCUCAGCCUCCUGAGUAGCUGGGAUUACAGGAAGCCUGCAAGCCUAGAGGUCAGCUCAGUGGCCACCUUCUGAAGCCCAGGGCACCAUUGGAAGCUGCCUAGUUUGAGGCACGGAUGGAAGAGGAAAACACUGAGAACAACAUCCCUCUUCCUGAGGAAUGCAUACAAGGGUGCUUGGGGGUGGGUUGGGGAUCCCAAGGCAGGAGAGCCAAAGCUGGAGUCAGAGGAAGCUCUUCUUCUGAAACCUGUAAUUUCAAUGUCUUUUCCUUUCCCUUCAAAAUUGUAAUUUCCUUCUGAAAUCAUUCUAACCCUUUAGUAAAGACAUUAAUUUAAAGAUG